CGAGGCGUGGCAGAGCGGUCGAUUGCGGGCGGCUCGCUCCUUCCGGAGUAGGCUCCGAUGCCUCGGCAUCUCACGGGUUCGAAUCCCGUCGCCUCCC
rnacentral:tRNA from 1 species